rnacentral:rRNA from 1 species
AGUCGAGCGGAAACGAUCCUAGCUUGCUAGGAGGCGUCGAGCGGCGGACGGGUGAGUAAUGCAUAGGAAUCUGCCCGGUAGUGGGGGAUAACCUGAGGAAACUCAGGCUAAUACCGCAUACGUCCUACGGGAGAAAGCAGGGGCUCUUCGGACCUUGCGCUAUCGGAUGAGCUUAUGUCGGAUUAGCUGGUUGGUGAGGUAACGGCUCACCAAGGCGACGAUCCGUAGCUGGUCUGAGAGGAUGAUCAGCCACAUCGGGACUGAGACACGGCCCGAACUCCUACGGGAGGCAGCAGUGGGGAAUAUUGGACAAUGGGGGCAACCCUGAUCCAGCCAUGCCGCGUGUGUGAAGAAGGCCCUCGGGUUGUAAAGCACUUUCAGUGAGGAAGAAGGCUUGUCGGUUAAUACCCGGCAAGAAAGACAUCACUCACAGAAGAAGCACCGGCUAACUCCGUGCCAGCAGCCGCGGUAAUACGGAGGGUGCGAGCGUUAAUCGGAAUUACUGGGCGUAAAGCGUGCGUAGGCGGCUUGAUAAGCCGGUUGUGAAAGCCCCGGGCUCAACCUGGGAACGGCAUCCGGAACUGUCAGGCUAGAGUGCAGGAGAGGAAGGUAGAAUUCCCGGUGUAGCGGUGAAAUGCGUAGAGAUCGGGAGGAAUACCAGUGGCGAAGGCGGCCUUCUGGACUGACACUGACGCUGAGGUACGAAAGCGUGGGUAGCAAACAGGAUUAGAUACCCUGGUAGUCCACGCCGUAAACGAUGUCGACUAGCCGUUGGGGUCCUCGAGACCUUUGUGGCGCAGUUAACGCACUAAGUCGACCGCCUGGGGAGUACGGCCGCAAGGUUAAAACUCAAAUGAAUUGACGGGGGCCCGCACAAGCGGUGGAGCAUGUGGUUUAAUUCGAUGCAACGCGAAGAACCUUACCUACCCUUGACAUCGUGCGAACUUUCCAGAGAUGGAUUGGUGCCUUCGGGAACGCACAGACAGGUGCUGCAUGGCUGUCGUCAGCUCGUGUUGUGAAAUGUUGGGUUAAGUCCCGUAACGAGCGCAACCCUUGUCCCUAUUUGCCAGCGAUUCGGUCGGGAACUCUAGGGAGACUGCCGGGGACAAACCGAAGGAA